UUAUAUUUUAUUUAUUAAUUAUUUUUUUUUUUAUUAUAAAUUAUUAAAAAUAAUUAUUAUGAGAUUUGUUUAAGUAUUUUAUAAAGAAAAAAUAAUUUUAAUUAUAGUUAAAUAGUAUUGUGAAAGAAAAUUGAAAUAAUUUGAAAAAUAAAUAUUUAAAAAGAAAAUUUAAUUUAUUGUACCUUGUGUAUCAGGGUUUAUUAAAUAAAAAUUAUUUAUUAUAAUUUUCUCGAUUUUAAAAGAGUUAAUAUAUUAUAAAAGUUAAUGUGAUAAAAUUAUUUUAUAUAAUAUAUUGGAAAUGAAAUGUUAUUCGUUUUUAAAGGUAUCUAGUUCUUUAAGAAAUAAAUUUAAUUUAGAAAUUUUAUAUUAUUUAAUUAAAUGUAUUAAUUAAAUAAUUAUUUUAUUUUAAUAUUUUGUGGGAUAAGCUAUGAAAUAAAUUAUUAAAAAUUAUUAAAUAAUUUAAUAAAUGUAAGCUUAGAAAUAGCUAUUAUUAAUGAAAUUGUUAUAAUUUAUUUUAUUAUAUUGAUUAUUUAUUUAAUUUUAAUUAUGUAUUAAAGUAUUUAUUUUAAUUAUAAAAAUAAAAAAAUAAUGAUAAAAUUAGUAUAUUAUAUUGUAUAAAUAUAAUUAAUUGAUAAGUUUUUAUAAAGAACUCGGCAAAAAUAAUGUUCGCCUGUUUAACAAAAACAUGUCUUUUUGAAUUUUUUUAAAAGUCUAGCCUGCCCACUGAAUAAUUUAAAUGGCCGCAGUAUACUAACUGUGCAAAGGUAGCAUAAUCAUUAGUCUUUUAAUUGAAGGCUGGUAUGAAUGGUUGGACGAGAUAUUAACUGUUUCAUAAAAAUUUAUAAUAGAAUUUUAUUUUUUAGUCAAAAAGCUAAAAUAAGAUUAAAAGACGAGAAGACCCUAUAAAUCUUUAUAUAUAUAGAUUAUUAGAAUUUUAUAGAUUUUUUUUGUUAUAAUAAUUAAUUAUAUUUUAUUGGGGUGAUAUUAAAAUUUAAUAAACUUUUAAUUUUAAAAAUCAUUAAUUUAUGAAUAAUUGAUCCGUUAAUAACGAUUAGAAAAAUAAGUUACUUUAGGGAUAACAGCGUAAUUUUUUUGGAGAGUUCAUAUCGAUAAAAAAGAUUGCGACCUCGAUGUUGGAUUAAGAUAUAAUUUUAGGUGUAGCUGCUUAAAUUUUAAGUCUGUUCGACUUUUAAAUUCUUACAUGAUCUGAGUUCAAACCGGCGUAAGCCAGGUUGGUUUCUAUCUUUAAAAAAUUAAAAUAUUUCAGUACGAAAGGACCUAAUAUUUAAUAAAUAAUUAUUUUUAUAUUGAAUAUAAAUAAUUUAU
rnacentral:rRNA from 1 species